UUGAGAUCAUUCACAUAUGAAAAGUGUUGAUGUUUAAAUAAUAUCCAUUACUUUUAUAUAUAUUUUUGUGAUCAAUACCCGAUAUUGUAUGAAAAUUGACAAGAUAACUAUGUUCUUGGACUUCCUUGCGCUAUCAUUAUAUAACUUUUAUCUUCCACUUUGGAGGAAAGGUAAUAAGUUUCUCACUUGCAAAUAUUACAUCCGCUAUAGAAAGUAGUAUAAAGUUAUCCUCUUCUACAAGAUAUCUGGCAUUACUUUAUAUACUUAUUACACUGCGCAUAAAUUGGGAGCUUCAGGCAACGAAGGCUAUGGCUAUGUGUAGAGUACAGGUUUCUUUAACCUCAGAAGCUAUUAAGACAUGGUUAGGUUGUUCUAAUCCUACGUUGUGAUCUUCAGCUUGUAAAUUGUAAUGCAAACAAUAGAAACAUGUUUGCCCUUUUGCUCUCUGUACUCUAUGCCGUUGUUGAAUGUUAUGAACUAAAGUAACAUACCUGUA